UGAAUAAAACUGUCAGAUUGUUGGAGU
rnacentral:sRNA from 1 species